rnacentral:rRNA from 1 species
CCUACGGGAGGCAGCAGUAAGGAAUAUUGGUCAAUGGACGCAAGUCUGAACCAGCCAUGCCGCGUGGAGGAUGAAGGUCCUCUGGAUUGUAAACUUCUUUUAUUUGGGGAGAAACCCACGAUUUCUAUUGUGGUUGACGGUACCAGAUGAAUAAGCACCGGCUAACUCCGUGCCAGCAGCCGCGGUAAUACGGAGGGUGCAAGCGUUAUCCGGAUUCACUGGGUUUAAAGGGUGCGUAGGCGGGCAGGUAAGUCAGUGGUGAAAUCUCCGAGCUUAACUUGGAAACUGCCGUUGAUACUAUCUGUCUUGAAUGCUGUGGAGGUAAGCGGAAUAUGUCAUGUAGCGGUGAAAUGCUUAGAUAUGACAUAGAACACCUAUUGCGAAGGCAGCUUGCUACACAGAAAUUGACGCUGAGGCACGAAAGCGUGGGGAUCAAACAGGAUUAGAUACCCUGGUAGUCCACGACCUAACGAUAGAUACUCGACAUCAGACGAUACACAGUGGUGUGUGAGACGAAGACGAUUAAGUAAGUCCUACCGUUCGGAAGUACGACCGACGAAGGUUAGUUAACGUUAAAGGUAAGUUAGACGGCGUUGAGACGUUGCCGACGGACGACGACGAGGGAGGAGG